CCUACGGGGGGCAGCAGUGAGGAAUAUUGGUCAAUGGCCGGGAGGCUGAACCAGCCACGUCGCGUGAGGGAAGACGGCCCUACGGGUUGUAACCCUCUUUUGUCAGGGAGCAAGGUGCAGGUCGGGACCUGCUGUGAGAGUACCUGAAGAAAAAGCAUCGGAAAACUCCGUGCCAUCAGCGGCGUAACACGGGGGGUGCGGGUGUUAGCCGGAUUUUGUUGGUUUAAAGGGUUGGCAGGGGGAGGCACAAGUCCGGGGUAAGAUCGCGGGGCGCAAGCCCGACCCGCCGUUGAAACUGUGUCCCUUGAGUGCGCGAAGGGUAGGCGGAAUGCGUGGUGUAGCGGUGAAAUGCAUAGAUAUCACACAGAACUCCGAUCGCGAAGGCAGCCUACCGGCGCGCAACUGACGCUCAUGCACGAAAGCGUGGGUAUCGAACAGGAUUAGAUACCCUUGUAGUC
rnacentral:rRNA from 1 species